CUGCCUGUAACUUAGUGUUGGUUAGCGACGAGACAGUUGGGCUCGGGGCGCGGGGGAGGGGCGGGAGCUGGCUCAGCUGGUGGCACGAGUCUAAUGGCCUGAGUUCUGAUGGUCAGAACCCACUUACAAAGUUAAAUGCGACGAGAAGCAGCUAUUUCCUGAGACAGGAGCAUUGCCAGAGCUGCCCCCCACCCCCACCCCCAGCCAGCUACCCUGGAGUACACAGCCAGGCGGAAACGAGAAGAGACCCCGCCCCAACAAGGUGGAAGGCUCUCCAGCGGUGGGGCUUUCAAGGACUCCUGAAAGCUGUCCUGACUCUGCUCUCACGCCCGUGUGCACACAAUCAAUGUAUUAGAACGAAGUUUGCACUGGACAAGCAGCUCUGAGUGAGCCUCUCUCCUGUAAUCCCAGCACCUGGGAAACUGAGCACGCUCCAGCCCGAAGGUAGGAAGCUUGUACUGGCCUACAACUAAGACACUCAGAGUAUUCUGGUAUGUGUGGUGGAGGGACGAGCCUGGGAAUAGCCCAUGGUCUCACGGUGCGGGCUGUGCCAGAUGAAGUAGCGCUGUAGGGCAAGCUGUCCCGUAUCUGCAAAACCCAGACUUUCCUGCUGUUUGCAUCUGCACGGAAGUUGGAAGAAGGCAAAGAGUUGGGGCUAGCAGGCUGGGGGGCUGAGCCUGGGGCCAGGAGAGUCCCAAGAAGCAAGUUUUCUGUUUGUUACGUUCCAUCACAUGCUUCAAAGUGGGGGCACAACCAGGCUAAAAUGGCCUAAAGGAUUGUGGCUGUAACCGAGGCACCUCAGACUGCUGUGAAUUGCUAGGAUCAGAGACUGCUCUUAAGGCUCACAGCAAGAUAGGAAAGUGAGAAACCCCAAGGUCCCUGCAGGGAACCUUGCUCCAGCUCCCUACAAAGACAGCCCCUGAGCAGGACUCUGAUUGAGAGAUCUUAGGGUGGGAACGUCUGUGUGACCAGGUCACCUGCUGGAAGUACCUUGGGCUGGUGCCUCUGGUGCUCUGGGUUGCAGAGGUGUGUCCCCCUGAGAAGCCUCCGCAGCUGCAAGCCUCACUUUCUGAGUUGCGGGCAGGGGGAGGGGAUGGGGAUGGGAGUAGGGGAGAAAGGUGGUUCCCCUUCAGAAUUUUCCUCGGUGUCCUCUGGUCGUAUCUUCUCUUCUGUGCCUUUCUCCUGUUCUUACUCCACCAUCGGGAGUCCACUUCCUGCUUCUCCCAGGGCCCCUGCUUCCCCACCCCCACACUGUGGCUCCAGAGGAGGCACAGACCCUUCCAGAGGACCGGCCGCCCAGCCUGCUGCCGCAGCUCAGCCGCCUGUUGGAAAUACCUUGCUUUUGCAAGAUUCUGCUAAAAUAAGGAUAAAAGGACAAGCUACACAGGAAGAAAUACUUGCAAACCAACCGCACUUGUAUCUAAAAUACUUCAAACGCCUUCAAUAAUGCAAAGGGAAAUGCUAAAACACAAGUAAACGCCGAGCCAAAGCCUUUACUGUGAAAAGGACGCAGAGCAGAGAUGCUCUGCGCCUUCUGAAUUGUGAUGUAAAAAGUGACGGUUUGCAUCCUUUAUUCCCAGGUCAAACAAGCUCUCUCCCUUUGCACACAGUCACUUUUGGGGGGGGGGGAGGGGUUGGCUUUUGGUGACAGGGUUUCUCUGAGUGCUGGGAUUAAAGGCGUGCGCCACCACCGCCCGGCUACAGUCACUCUUUUGAAAGCUUUGGAUUGAGUAGGAACUGACAAACAGGAGGGAUGUCUCCUCCAGUGAUCUGCGGUGUCAAAGCUCUUCAUUUAUUUUACAGAGUAUUUGAUUGUUACCCGUUCUGUUCAUAGUUAGAAUAUGGGAUCUGAGGGUCAAGAGAAAGGGCUCAGCAAGCAAAGAGGUUUGCCACCUAGCCCGAUAACCUGAGUUCAAUGCCCAGGUCCCACAGGGUAGGAGAAAACUGGAUCCUGCAAGUUGUCCUCUAAUUUCCAUAUUCACACACACACACACACACACACACACACACACACACACACACACACACACACACAUCCCUGCCUCCCCCCAUCCCCCCUCAUACCCAAGCAUGAAAGCCCUUUUAACAAAGAAUGUUUCAAAUCACCUGGACAGAUCAGAAACUGUUUGUCAACUGUAGGUCUUUUUACUUGAAUUUUGUUUUGUUUUGGUUUUUUUUUGUUUUUUCGAGACAGAGUUUCUCUGAAUAGC